UAAUCGUCUUGCCUAUGUUGAAGGGUACGACACGCCCUCAGAUGCCAUUCGCCGGGAGAAGCAACUCAAGAAAUGGAACAGGGCCUGGAAAAUCGAACUCAUCGAAAAGAACAAUCCGGAUUGGCAAGACCUGUCUGACCUCGCCAUCUUCGGAAUUUCUUAGAAAAGGUGGGUCCCCGCUUUCGCGGGGACGACAUCUUGUUUGUAGUAGCGAUACUUCGCCACCGAGGUAUUACGCCGCCCGCACCUUGCCGAGGAAUUCGUCCACCGCCG
rnacentral:misc_RNA from 1 species